GCACUAAUGGGGUAGUGGUAACCUUAGUCGUUGCCAUCGACUAGCCGUGAGUUCAAUUCUUGCUUAGUGCA
rfam:Sphaerobolus stellatus SS14 unplaced genomic scaffold SPHSTscaffold_11, whole genome shotgun sequence.